rnacentral:rRNA from 1 species
GGAUUAGAUACCCUGGUAGUCCACGCCCUAAACGAUGGAUACUAGGCGUAAGAGGUAUCUACCCCUCUUGUGCCGCAGCUAACGCAUUAAGUAUCCCGCCUGGGGAGUACGGCCGCAAGGUUGAAACUCAAAUGAAUUGACGGGGACCCGCACAAGCGGUGGAGCAUGUGGAUUAAUUCGAUACUAACCGAAGAACCUUACCCAGGUUUGACAUCGAUGGCAAGCCUCUGAAAGGAGGCCCUUCUCCCACAAGGAGAACCUGAAGACACUUGUUGCAUGGCUGUCGUCAGCUCGUGCUG